rnacentral:rRNA from 1 species
AACGAACGCUGGCGGCAUGCCUAACACAUGCAAGUCGAACGAAACCUUCGGGUCUAGUGGCGCACGGGUGCUUAACGCGUGGGAACCUGCCCUUAGGUUCGGAAUAACUCCCCGAAAGGGGUGCUAAUACCGGAUAAUGUCUUCGGACCAAAGAUUUAUCGCCUUUGGAUGGGCCCUCGUUGGAUUAGCUAGUUGGUAGGGGAAAAGCCUACCAAGGCCACGAUCCAUAGCUGGUCUGAGAGGAUGAUCAGUCACACUGGCGCUGAGACACGGCCCAGACUCCUACGGGAGGCAGCAGUGGGGAAUAUUGGACAAUGGGCGAAAGUCUGAUCCAGCAAUGCCGCGUGAGUGAUGAAGGCCUUAGGGUUGUAAAGCUCUUUUACCCGGGAUGAUAAUGACAGUACCGGGAGAAUAAGCUCCGGCUAACUCCGUG